GCGGGGCUGGGGUCCCGGUGGGCGGGGCUAGGGCCCUGGUGGGCGGGGCUGGGAUCCUUGUGGGCGGGGCUGGGGUCCUGGUUGGUGGGACUGGGGUGAUGUUGGUCCUUGUCGGCUGGGCUGGGGUCCUGGUGGGUUGGGCUAGGGUCCUGGUGGGUGGGGCUUGGGUCCUGGUGGGUGGGACUCGGGUCAUUGUGGUCCUGAGAGGCGGGGCUUGGGUCUUGGUCGACGGGGCUUGGUUUAAUCACUCCUUGAUGUGGUCCAGAGACGCUAGCCCGCCGAAGCUCUGGGAAAGCAAGUUGGUAGGCGGUGUUCUCAUUGGUCCAGAUUGAUGAUGGGCUCAGGCUGGCUUGUCCUUCUGUAGAGCUGAUUGGCCCGUUGGCCAGUCCGUUUUCCUGUCCAGCCAAUGAGAGGAGAGGAGAGAUAGACGCAUCACCUCUAUCUACCUCUCUAUCUGUUCUUGUGGCUUCAGAGGAAUUCCUCAGCAGACCGGAGGAGAUCAGGCGCUCCUCUCCGCUCUCCUCCUCCUCCUCCACCUUCUUGACCCCCACCUCCACCUCCAACUCCACCCCUACCUCCGCCUCCACCCUCCACCUCCACCUCCUCCUCCUCGGCAGCCUGGUAGUAACUCCGGAUCUUGGCGAUGAUGCUGUGCUCGCUCCUGUUGUGGUUCUGGGUGGAGGCAGUGUCAGAAGGAGCAGUAGGCAGAGCCUCUGUGUUCCCCUCCGUAGAGAGGGGGGCAUACAAGGGGAGGGGAGGCGGGGAGGGGGAAGGGAGGAGGGGGGAGAAGACAGGGGCAGGACAGGCAGAAGGGAAGAGGGGGGAGGAGAGGGGAAGAACUAUGCUUUCCUCCCCUUUAUGUAUCCCUUCUACUUGCACCUCCUCCACCCUCUCCUCCCAACACCCAAGCCCCAUCUCCUCGCUCUGAUUGUAGGGUGCCAUCAGCUCCAAACCUUUGGUAUCCACCCCCUGGUCCCCCAUAUGGUGCCAGGGCCCGGGCUCCCACAAGGCUUGGUUGGAGGGGGAUACUGUAGGGGCCAGUGGGCUCGAGGGGGGUAUUGUAGGGGCCAGUUGGUUGGAGGGGGUACUGUAGGGGCCAGUUGGCUGGAGGGGGGUACUGUAGGGGCCAGAGGGCUGGAGGGGGUACUGUAGGGGCCAGAGGGCUGGAGGGGGGUACUGUAGGGGCCAGAGGGCUGAAGGGGGGGGUACUGUAGGGGCCAGAGGGCUGGAGGGGGUACUGUAGGGGCCAGAGGGCUGGAGGGGGUACUUCAGGGGCCAGAGGGCUGGAGGGGGGUACUUCAGGGGCCAGAGGGCUGGAGGGGGGUAUUGUAGGGGCCGGAGGGCUGGUGGGGGUUAUUGUAGGGGCCAGAGGGCUGGAGGGGGGUACUUCAGGGGCCAGAGGGCUGGUAAAGCUGUGGUCAGAUCUGGUGGACUCC
ensembl:lncRNA